ACUUGUGUGAGACACUAAUACAGGGAUGUAGUUGCUCAUUAAAGAAUGAGUUUACUAAAUUGAUUUGACUUGAAAAUAUCUUAUGGAAUCACUUACCCAUCAAAGAUAUUUUUUUAUAGUGGAAGUUGUGCAUAUAAUCUUUUGACCUGAGACUACCAUAGAACCUUAUAUACAUGAAUCUGUAUUUUGGUUCAUACUCAUUCAUGACUUAGCCAUGUAUGGGAUGAUCUAGAUAUGAUAGAAUAUGUAUAGAGGUUGUUAGU
rnacentral:lncRNA from 1 species